UUAGCAUACAUUAUGCACUGGUUUGGUGUUUCCCCCCAUCUCGCUCUUUUCUUUAUCUCUUCUCUGGGGCUGAAAUCCCACCUGGGAGGGAAAUACCUUCGGAUGCCUCCUCUUUUUCUGUGAUGCAGCCCCAGCUCGCUUUUCUCCUACUGUUGUUUUUUUUUUUCUUUCCUCCUGUCUGAUAAAUUACCAAACAAAACGCAGCACUAAGUGGUGUGGAGUGGAGUGCUGGAGUGUCUUUCUUGAGCGAAAAAAAAAAAUACUUGCUUGUGGGUUAAAAGGCCGUGCAGGAAGGCGCUGACACACCCAGAGGUUUGAGUCAGUGGUGAAUGAAAAAAAACAUCCUCACGGCUGAAGAAAAACCACUUCCUGUUUUAUCAUAACGCAGCUGACUGCUCCUAUACCAUCCCACCCACUCUGUUGACCUACUGAGUGCCCACUCCGCUACUACAGCAUCAUAUCGCCCCUUGUAGUUCCAUAUUAAUUUCCCAAGAGGAGUUGAUGUGAAGCUCUGCAUAUGAAUGAUUAUGAGGCUGGUGAUGGGUUUCACCUCGAAGCUGAAGAAGUCAAUGUAUCGACUGUUUUUUUGUCUCAGAGAGAAUAAGCUCGGGAUUUGUCUCGAUGGAUCGUUCUGACUGUGCCGCUACUGGAGACGAUGCUAAAACGAGGGCCCCUUGUUUAAAAAAAAGACAGAAAGAAAGAGAAAGAACGAAGGCAGCGAUCAAAGCGAUAAAGGAAUCAAGAGGAGGCUAUAAAAAGACACCCGUAAAACGAGAAGGAGACCUGUGACGCUCCUCAGAUCUAAUCCUCCUCCUCGUAGCUUUGACACGCUAAAUGUGUGAAUGUCAUUAAGCGAGUCGCCCUGCACCGCCGCCACCACCACCACCGCCUUUCGUCAUGCAAAUGGCCCCUCUUUUCAUGCGCGGGGUGGUUAGCGCAUGCAAAUCUCGCAUCAAAAUCUCGAUUAUCUCCAAAGGCUAAGCUCCUCACGGCCAAUUAAAAAGACUCACGCACCCGCUCGCCAGGCCACGCAGCAAAAAUGCUGAUGGAGAAGAUUCUGUGCAGCAGGUUGAUAUAAAUGAAUAAAUGUCGGCGUAAACAGCCGGCCGGGUGGCGUGACGUGAACCCCUCACGAAGGGAAGAUGGUGGAAUGUGUCCUCUUGAUCAUUUUCUGCCCACAUACAUUCCUUUUCAGAAAAAGUCCAUCAUCCGUCGCCUCCACUCUCUCCGUCCUUUAGGGAGGGAGGAUAAAGAAAAACCCUGCCGUGAUUUACCCCCCACCGAAAAAAACCACACACAUCGACAUAUAUCAGCCCCGGCCUGCACAAACACCGAGCAGCCAGAGGUCUGCUAUCUUUAUGACUUUCGUGAACCUCCCUAUUUUUAAGGCCUUGCUGGAAUCAUAAAUGAAGCAGGGGCUGCCAACCUCUUGCUGCUUGAUACGCUGAUAACAGAGAUGAGCUCAGGCCGGGGUAUGAGAUGCAUUAGCGAGACAGAACCGAGAGGGAUUACAGGUGUCUGGACUCCUGUAAAUCUUUUUAUCUGCCCAGGCCCACCCCACCCCCCGAGAAGACAGCGUUAUUGAACCUGAACACACAUCUCCUCCGUCUGCCAGCACGAAACACACGAGCAGCAUCCCCGAGUUAAACAGCGUUAAUAUUCUCAGUUUCAAAGCUCGGGGAGGGUGUGGUGGAGCACUGAGUACGUGACGGCUCUUUAAUUUUGACUGUGCGUGUUAUUUUACCUUUGAAUGAACCAAACAUGUCAUAGUAGAGAGCUGGAAUUGAUAAAGUUGUCUGACAAAGAGUCAAAAAACACACAUAAAUCUGUUUACAAUGAUACAGAAUAAGAAGAAGCCGCAAACCCUCACAUUUCUUUAGUUGCUUUGCGUGAUAAAUGACUCACAUGAUUGCUGUCUUUCAGGCUUUUUCCAUUUAAGUCACAGUUUAGCCUUAAGGAAAGAAGAACACAUCAAAGUGUGUUUGCAGGUGUUGGGGAGGAUUACUGCAUUUGUUAAAAAAAAAAAAGGUUGCAUAAGCCUCGUGAGCAUACUUGCCAAGCUUGGGACCUCAAAACUAGGAAACCAAAGUGCCGGAAUUCUAAUUUACAGAAUUAUCUCUGGGACAAAUAUUUAUCACCAAGACACCAAGAGUCACAUCAGAUUCAGAUUUCAUGCUUGACUAAUGAUUCACGCAGCUGUGAGUCCUGACCUGCGCUCGGCGCUGUAAAAACAACUCGUACCAUAACAGUUAUUACGCCGCCGCCAUAUGCUCCCCGAUUCAUGGCAGGUUAUAUUCUCGUUAGCGCUCACUGUUAAUGUAAAUGUGAGAGCGCAAAAAGUUAUGGCCACGUUCUGCGUUUACUACCCUCAUGAGUGGCCCUUUUAUUUUAUUUUUAUGACAAACACUGUUGGUGCUGGGGACGGUGCAGAGUAAUGUCUCUCACUUGGAUGCGACGCUGCCUGAAUGAAGAGCGGCUGGACGGGGCUCAUUGUUAGAGAGUAUCUGAGGAUAAGUGGCCUGCUGACUAAGCGGGUGAAAGUGAUUUGCAUAAAAGGAGAAAAAUAGUCGCUGAGGAAAAAAAAAGAGUCUCACCCGGCGAGCAAUUACCACGCCACUUUGUGCCGUCCUGACAUGUGCUGUAUGGGUGAUGCUUGUGUUUCCUGCAUGUCAGCGCGAGUGGGAGUUUGUUUUAAGUGAAGGAUGUUCAAGUAAAGUGAAAUAAUGUGCGGGAGGGAACGAGGUGCACGAGAGCCGCGGAGGAAGGAUUAAAGUGUCGGGAGAGCGAUGACCCCACUUCACGGAGAGGAGAGGGAGAAAGAAACGCCUGCGGAUGACAGAUUUCUGGCAGCACGAGUUAACUGAAGCGACACCUCGGCCAACGAAAGCGGCGGCAGCAGACGAGGCCUGUUGAUAGAGCACGUACGUUCCGCGCUGACUGAUCGGGGCGCCAACAAAGGUAAUCAGUCGGCGCGUUUUCUUUAUCUGCUUUCACGUUCCCCUCAUCGUUCCAUCCCUCUUGACUCUAACACAGAGAGAUCUCGGUCCUCAUCAGAAGACCGAUUCAGAUGGAAAAGGCCUCUCAGGAGGAUGAUGGAUGCUCGUUUGUCAAGACAGAAAUCAGCUCAUCCAGUGGAUGAUUCACCGCUGGAGAUCAUCGGACUUACGGAACAACAUUAUGGUCACAUUUCUCAACAAAUAUCUUUGUUUUCUGCACUUUUAGAGCUUAACUGUGAGAGAUGGUGGACUAAAAUAUCCACUCACACCCACUAAUAUAAUAUUUUGUCUUCAGAAAGAGAGGGCAUGAUCAACAUUCAGUGCCGGGUCAAAUAAUUGCAGCAGUCACGAGUGGUGGACCCUUUUCCAUUUUUUUUCAGUUCUAAUCCAACCAUUGGUUUCCUUUGGUCGUCGUUCCCCAGAAGAAAUAAGUUAGCAUGCAGUCGGCCUGGUUAAGUUCUGGGAGCUGCAAAGACGUCUUAAACUUUACUGUACAUCCUCCGGCCACUUUGGCUUCCCCGUCGUCCCAGCACUGGAUCCUCUUUUCCUUUCUGACAUCAACUUUAUGUCUCUGUCACCCAUGAGACAAAGGGAUAAUCCGACCCUGUCUGACUGCAUGGAAAUGAUAGCAUCAGGAAAUUGGACUCAGGCCUCGCCGAAGCCACGUGUCAGAGGUCCGCAUCAAGGCCACGCGUGUUGCCCUCAUCAUACCUGGCACGGGGGCCCGAAAAAAAGACAAGCACGGCUGCUGUAGCCAUUAAGUAUUAAUCGAGUGCGCUCUUCCUCAAUUUGAAAUCCAAUUGACUUUUUGUAGCCGGGCGGCGGGGAGAGGGAGGCGGCGGGAGCUCUGGCUGUUAGGAGAGAUAGCUCUGCCUUGAACCGCGGCAGAGAUCAGUGGAGCUUUGAGACGACGGCAACCCCCGGCGUGAUGUAGUAUUCGCCAGGAGCAAUUACAGUCUUAUAUGCCACCACGUCCCCCUGUUCAAACCCUUAUCUAUUUUUAAUGCCGCUGGCUUUCGACGUUGAUACAUCGCGUUGAUGCGGCAGAGUCACUGUUAAUAUCUGAGAGCUGCCAAAGAAGACGCUGUGAAGCCACGCUGGGGACGGCUGUGUAUCAGAGGAGACGGAUGUGGCUUUAAAUCAUCUUUAAAAUGGAAGGAGAAGAAGAAGGAGAGCAAACGGGAUUGAAAUCUGAGGUCCUGGGCCCGAGUUUGUCAGAUAAAGAACCGCAGGUGAAGUCAAUAAAUACAGACGCACACUUUUCUGUGUUGUAAAGUAGAUACGUAUGGAGUGAUAGAGUGAACGAGGGACUCUCGAGGUGAAAACAUCUGAAUGUGUGCUGUUAUUUAAACGAUAUAUUCAUUCGUGCAAUCACGCGGAAUGACAGGUGAGAACUGAUCGAGCUCUCAGCGGCUACACAUGCGUUCAUUCUGUUGUUUGUGCAUGUAUUCUACUACUUUAAUCUACUACGGAGAACGUUGAAUUUGUGCUGUCACGAUAGUAGAAUUUUAAACUUGACCUUCUUUUCUCUCUAGAUAAAAAUAACGUGGCAGAAAAAAGUUGUCCAGGCCUCUUUGACACCAGAACACAUCUGCAAAGUAGAAAUGUAGCCGUACAAAUGCACCUCAAACACUAGAAAUACACUUUUCAGCAUGAGAGAAUACUUCUGUCCUUGGGGUUGGAUGCAGUUACAGCUGAAGUCGCUCGCUGAACAAAGCUUUCCUCAUUGUUGUAUUGACGAUGGCGUUGUUCACGAAAGCAGCUCAUUGCACCUGGUGACUCUGGAGAUGAAUAUAUCUAACUGCAGUGUAGCAGCGAUUCUCUCCCGAGGAUUAAAUAAAAAAAAAUUGAAUUUGUGCUCCAGAUCAUUCUGCAAUAUGAAACCUAGAACCCAGCUGGACCUGUAGAAACCUGACAUCCUGUUCACAACCACCGGUGCAGAUAGACCUUUUAAAAACCAAAAAAAAAAAAAAAAAAAAAUGAAGAUCCAUGGCUCUGUCCGGGGCGUAAUUGUGACAAAUCAUGUAGCACCUCUGGAAUCCACCUUCAGCACACAGAGAGGAACAGUGUGAGGGAUAAGAGAAUACAUUGGAUCAAUGAACUCAGACGCUUGGAAAUCCGUAAAAAAAAACAAAAAAAAACAAGGAGAGGAAUGUGUCGCCGUU